AUGGCCUGAAAUAAUUUAAUUUUAAAUUGAAAAUUGCAAAAUAAUCCAGAAGAUUGGUGAAAGAGAAAAGCAAAAAUUGAAAAAUGACAAAAAAAGAAGGAAAAAUAACUUGAGUAAGCAUAAUUAUCAAAAAUAAAUUCCCUAUUGUUGACUUGUUGAAUGACCCUAAAGACAGAUCUGAAACCAAUUGGUUAGGGUUUGACUAGAAUGAGCCAAGCUUGAAACAACCUAUAUCCUAACCCACAUGACCCAAUUGCCAAGUUUAGCUUCUGAUUUUCCUGCAAGCAUUUUUUUUUUUUAUUGCCUGGGGUGAGUAUCCUAUUAGAUGCAGAGAAACUAAAGUUUUCAGCUUUAUUUCUCAUUAAACGAACAAUGUGUAGGAUGCAAAAACUGGCAAAAGAA
rnacentral:misc_RNA from 1 species